rnacentral:rRNA from 1 species
AUGAUGAGAGUAGCGAACGGGCGAGUAACGCGUGAGUAACCUACCCUAUGCAGGGGGAUAACAUCGGGAAACCGGUGCUAAUACCGCAUAACACCAUUGAAUCGCAUGGUUUGGUGGUCAAAGCUGCGGCGGCAUAGGAUGGACUCGCGUCCAAUUAGCUAGUUGGUAGGGUAAUGGCCUACCAAGGCGACGAUUGGUAGCCGAACUGAGAGGUUGGUCGGCCGCAUUGGGACUGAGACACGGCCCAGACUCCUACGGGAGGCAGCAGUGGGGAAUAUUGCGCAAUGGGGGAAACCCUGACGCAGCAACGCCGCGUGAAGGAUGAAGGCUUUCGGGUUGUAAACUUCUUUGAUCGGGGACGAAUAAUGACGGUACCCGAGGAACAAGCCACGGCUAACUACGUGCCAGCAGCCGCGGUAAUACGUAGGUGGCGAGCGUUGUCCGGAAUUACUGGGUGUAAAGGGCGUGUAGGCGGGAUGUCAAGUCAGAUGUGAAAUACCACGGCUUAACUGUGGGGGUGCAUUUGAAACUGUUUGGCUUGAGUGCAGGAGAGGAAAGUGGAAUUCCUAGUGUAGCGGUGAAAUGCGUAGAGAUUAGGAGGAACACCAGUGGCGAAGGCGGCUUUCUGGACUGUAACUGACGCUGAGGCACGAAAGCGUGGGUAGCGAACAGGAUUAGAUACCCUGGUAGUCCACGCCGUAAACGAUGGAUACUAGGUGUAGGGGGUAUCGACCCCCCCUGUGCCGGAGUUAACGCAAUAAGUAUCCCGCCUGGGGAGUACGUGCGCAAGCAUGAAACUCAAAGGAAUUGACGGGGACCCGCACAAGCAGCGGAGCAUGUGGUUUAAUUCGAAGCAACGCGAAGAACCUUACCAGGGCUUGACAUGCCGAUGACAGAUACAGAGAUGUAUCCUCCCUUCGGGGCAUUGGACACAGGUGGUGCAUGGUUGUCGUCAGCUCGUGUCGUGAGAUGUUGGGUUAAGUCCCGCAACGAGCGCAACCCUUAUUUUUAGUUGCCAUUAUUAAGUUAGGCACUCUAAAGAGACUGCCGGGGUAACUCGGAGGAAGGUGGGGACGACGUCAAAUCAUCAUGCCCCUUAUGUCCUGGGCUACACACGUGCUACAAUGGCCGGAAACAGAGGGCAGCUAAGCCGCGAGGUGGAGCUAAUCCCAGAAACCCGGUCCCAGUUCGGAUUGUGGGCUGCAACUCGCCCACAUGAAGUCGGAGUUGCUAGUAAUCGCGAAUCAGCACGUCGCGGUGAAUGCGUUCCCGGGUCUUGUACACACCGCCCGUCA